AAGUCGUAACAAGGUUUCCGUAGGUGAACCUGCGGAAGGAUCAUUAUCACGUAUCCAAACGUAUAAACCCAAUGUGCACCUAUAAAAUUCCUCCGCUGGAAAUGAAGUGGCAGAGAAGUUGAUAUUCUGAUUCAUGGUCUUUCAGAAUUCUCUGUCUUGAAUCUCUUUAUUGAGUUUCAGCCUUCUACUCCGGGAGUCGUAUCAAACCAUGCUUGUUUUACUAAACAACUUGUACCUUUCUGAACUAACUUUGGUUGGAAAAAACAGUAUCUUCGGAUGUUUGUUUUUGAUAACCUUGAUUUAUAUAAACUCUGAACUACUCUUAACAACGGAUAUCUUGGUUCUC
rnacentral:misc_RNA from 1 species